rnacentral:rRNA from 1 species
GAUGAACGCUGGCGGCGUGCCUAAUACAUGCAGGUCGAGCGAACAGACGAGGAGCUUGCUCCUCUAACGUUAGCGGCGGACGGGUGAGUAACACGUGGAUAACCUACCUAUAAGACUGGGAUAACUUCGGGAAACCGGAGCUAAUACCGGAUAAUAUAUUGAACCGCAUGGUUCAAUAGUGAAAUACGGUUUUGCUGUCACUUAUAGAUGGAUCCGCGCCGCAUUAGCUAGUUGGUAAGGUAACGGCUUACCAAGGCAACGAUGCGUAGCCGACCUGAGAGGGUGAUCGGCCACACUGGAACUGAGACACGGUCCAGACUCCUACGGGAGGCAGCAGUAGGGAAUCUUCCGCAAUGGGCGAAAGCUUGACGGAGCAACGCCGCGUGAGUGAUGAAGGUCUUCGGAUCUUAAAACUCUGUUAUUAGGGAAGAACAAAUGUGUAAGUAACUAUGCACGUCUUGACGGUACCUAAUCAGAAAGCCACGGCUAACUACGUG